CGCCGAACGGGAGGCUACACAUGCAAGUCGAGCGGUAACAGAAAUCAGCUUGCUGAUUUGCUGACGAGCGGCGGACGGGUGAGUAAUGUCUGGGAAACUGCCUGAUGGAGGGGGAUAACUACUGGAAACGGUAGCUAAUACCGCAUAACGUCUUCGGACCAAAGUGGGGGACCUUCGGGCCUCAUGCCAUCAGAUGUGCCCAGAUGGGAUUAGCUAGUAGGUGGGGUAAAGGCUCACCUAGGCGACGAUCCCUAGCUGGUCUGAGAGGAUGACCAGCCACACUGGAACUGAGACACGGUCCAGACUCCUACGGGAGGCAGCAGUGGGGAAUAUUGCACAAUGGGCGCAAGCCUGAUGCACCCAUGCCGCGUGUAUGAAGAAGGCCUUCGGGUUGUAAAGUACUUUCAGCGAGGAGGAAGGGGUUAAGGUUAAUAACCUUGGCCAUUGACGUUACUCGCAGAAGAAGCACCGGCUAACUCCGUGCCAGCAGCCGCGGUAAUACGGAGGGUGCAAGCGUUAAUCGGAAUUACUGGGCGUAAAGCGCACGCAGGCGGUUUGUUAAGUCAUAUGUGAAAUCCCCGGGCUCAACCUGGGAACUGCAUUUGAAACUGGCAAGCUUGAGUCUCGUAGAGGGGGGUAGAAUUCCACGUGUAGCGGUGAAAUGCGUAGAGAUCUGGAGGAAUACCGGUGGCGAAAGCGGCCCCCUGGACAAACACUGACGCUCAUGUGCGAAAGCGUGGGGAGCAAACAGGAUUAAAUACCCUUGUUCUCCAAAAA
rnacentral:rRNA from 1 species